rnacentral:rRNA from 1 species
AGAUUGAACGCUGGCGGCGUGCCUUACACAUGCAAGUCGAACGGCAGCACGGGAGCAAUCCUGGUGGCGAGUGGCGAACGGGUGAGUAAUAUAUCGGAACGUGCCAGUUGUGGGGGAUAGCCCGGCGAAAGCCGGAUUAAUACCGCGUACGACCUAAGGGUGAAAGCGGGGGAUCGCAAGACCUCGCGCAAUUGGAGCGGCCGAUAUCAGAUUAGCUAGUUGGUGGGGUAAAAGCUCACCAAGGCGACGAUCUGUAGCUGGUCUGAGAGGACGACCAGCCACACUGGGACUGAGACACGGCCCAGACUCCUACGGGAGGCAGCAGGUGGGGAAUUUGGACAAGUGGGCGCAAGCCUGGAUCCAGCCAUGCCGCGUGUGGGAAGAAGGCCUUGGGUGUAACCACUUUGUCAGGAAGAACGGUCUACUAAUAGUUAGGCUAAUGACGUACCUAGAA